rnacentral:rRNA from 1 species
CAGCCGCCACGGGAAUACAGAGGGUGCGAGCGUUAAUUGGAAUUACUGGGCGUAAAGCGCACGCAGGCGGUCUGACAAGUCAGAUGUGAAAUCCCCGGGCUUAACCUGGGAACUGCAUUUGAAACUGUCAGGCUGGAGUCUUGUAGAGGGGGGUGGAAUUCCAGGUGUAGCGGUGAAAUGCGUAGAGAUCUGGAGGAAUACCGGUGGCGAAGGCGGCCCCCUGGACAAAGACUGACGCUCAGGUGCGAAAGCGUGGGGAGCAAACAGGAUUAGAUACCCCUGUAGUCCCUGUCUCUUAUAC